rnacentral:rRNA from 1 species
UACGGAGGGUGCGAGCGUUGUCCGGAAUCACUGGGCGUAAAGGGCGCGUAGGCGGUUGGAUAAGUCAGCUGUGAAAACCACGGGCUUAACUCGUGGCCUGCAGUUGAAACUGUCUGGCUUGAGUGUGGGAGAGGAGAGUGGAAUUCCUGGUGUAGCGGUGAAAUGCGUAGAUAUCGGAAGGAACAUCAGUGGCGAAAGCGACUUCCUGGACCAGUACCGACGUUCAGGCACGAAAGCGUGGGGAGCAAACAGG